UGCGCAGGUGGCUUCUGGGAGCCAAGGCAACUGAGGUUUUCCCAGGCUCCUUGAGAGAGUGCCCUAUUUCCCCGGCAGCAGUAGCUCCAGGGUCCCGCUCUGCAGUCCGUAAUGAGAGGCCUCGGGCUCCGCGGGGAAGUGUCGCAGUUGGUGGAAGAGUCCCGAGCAGCAGCAAAUCUGCUCGCUCCCCGCGGGGCCGCCGCUCUCGCUCGCACUCUUGCUCUCGGUCCGGGAACCGGAAUGGCCUGGGCCCCCAGCGGAGUGGCCUCAGCCUGGCCUCCCGGAACCAGCCCUGCCGACCCGUUCGCGGUCACGUUCUCCGGAGCGGCCCCCUGCGCCGCGGGGCACCCCCUUCGCCUCUGCCUCCUCGUCCGCCUGUCGCGGCCGCUCCCCGCGCCCCUCCGGGACCGAUAAGCCGUGGGUCUCUGGGACAAGGAGAGGGAGCUCAGCUUUGAUGAACACACACCAGUAGAGACGAAGAGCUGAAGAAAAGCACCACUUCUGUUUCUACUUCAAAAGAAGAAGAAGAGGAAGUCUAGUCAUUCAAAAGAAAGGUCCAAGAAAAAGAGAAAGAAAAAAUCAUCUAAAAGAAAACGCAAGAAGUAUUCUGACAGCGACAGUGACUCUGACUCUGAAACAGACUCCAGU